rnacentral:rRNA from 2 species
CCUGAUGUUAGCGGCGGACGGGUGAGUAACACGUGGGUAACCUGCCUGUAAGACUGGGAUAACUCCGGGAAACCGGGGCUAAUACCGGAUGGUUGUUUGAACCGCAUGGUUCAAACAUAAAAGGUGGCUUCGGCUACCACUUACAGAUGGACCCGCGGCGCAUUAGCUAGUUGGUGAGGUAACGGCUCACCAAGGCAACGAUGCGUAGCCGACCUGAGAGGGUGAUCGGCCACACUGGGACUGAGACACGGCCCAGACUCCUACGGGAGGCAGCAGUAGGGAAUCUUCCGCAAUGGACGAAAGUCUGACGGAGCAACGCCGCGUGAGUGAUGAAGGUUUUCGGAUCGUAAAGCUCUGUUGUUAGGGAAGAACAAGUACCGUUCGAAUAGGGCGGUACCUUGACGGUACCUAACCAGAAAGCCACGGCUAACUACGUGCCAGCAGCCGCGGUAAUACGUAGGUGGCAAGCGUUGUCCGGAAUUAUUGGGCGUAAAGGGCUCGCAGGCGGUUUCUUAAGUCUGAUGUGAAAGCCCCCGGCUCAACCGGGGAGGGUCAUUGGA